GUUGCAAGACUCUCCUUUGUAUGUAUUGAUUGAGGAAGUCCAUUUUUUGCUCCCCGUAUCCUUCAGUUCCCUCAUUCUGAUUGGAUAGAUAUGGGGGCAUAGAAAUGUGGGGAAAGCAAGGAGGAGAAAAAUGGACAGUGAACCUUCCUCACUCGCUGCAGCCAGGGACAUCACUGCAGCAGAGCUUUCCGUGAGUGUGACCUGAAACCAUGGGAUCAUCUUCUGCAAGUAGGUGUUUAAAUAGCAGCAACUUUCAGACAAAAAUGCAAACCAUUAAGAUUAAAAAAACAGCAACAACAAACAGCUUUUUCAGGAGCAAGCUCAAUUUAAUUAUAUGAAGGAUUCUAAGGUCUAUAAAAUCAGAUGGGCUGGCUGUGAGCAUAAUAGGAAUAUUUGAGUAUGUUUGGAUUAGGUAAGCUUUUGUCAUAUAUAUUCUAGGAUUAAUCUAAUCUAAAAGCCUGUUUUUUCAGCAGAGAUUCAUCAUUACUAGCAAAGCAGAUUUCAGAUUAGAAGGCAUCAGUGUUGCAUUCUUCUGCUGCUGUCCUUUGGAAAAUGUGACUUUGCCUUCAUUGCCUGUCCUUAAUUUUAUUGGGGAAACUUGCUGUGGGCACUAGUAGACUCUAAAGUGAAUAAUCUGAAACCACAUAGCCCCUUGUGGACACCAACAGAGAGCCCAUGGGAAUCUGAGCGUGUAAUAACCAUGAUUUAUUUUACUGAUGAUCAGAGACAGAUGAAGCUGCCAGUAUGUCAGUGACUGGGCAGACCUCUGGUGGGAAUAUAGAAACCUGACUGAGGAAGACCCUUGGCACAGUCCCUGACCAGCUCUUUAAAAGAAGGGGCUACCCUGACCUGUCUAUGACUUAUCUUAAGACAUGAAGCGUGAAGGCAUGUAAACUAGUAUGAAGACGAGGAACAACGUAGGUGCCAGGGUAGUCCUCCUGCUUGUCUCUGCUUCCCUACAGUCUACCUCAUGAAAAUCUCUUAAUCUUUCACAGACCCGCCUUGCGAACAACUGUUGUAAUUGGAUGAGCUACACAUCAGGUGCUGCAAUGGAAAAGUGUUGUGAGCAAGAGAGCCAGUAAAUUGCUGUGUUUUUACCCUUGAGACUUCAGUGACCUCUGCCAUCGAGCAUCACUCCUGUCCCUUCUGGAGAUCGGUGGCCAUACUUGAGCGCUGAAUUUAUCAGCUUCUUACUGAGUGCAGAUGUGCUGACUAUCGCAAGCAUUGACAGACUGCUCUCAGCCCUAGUAUUGACUUCCUCGACUGUUCAUCAUGUUGGAGUUGUUAGGCAUCCUUAGGGCAGUUGUGAAGUACAGCAUCAGGGGAAUCAGCUGAUGGCAUGCCCUCUGCCUGGAGAGCCCCAGCCUUGCCCAAGCCUGCAGCUUGGGGCUUGUUCUGCAGGAGCAGCACAGACUUCUGGAGGAUUCCUUUGUACAAGCAUGAGCUUGCCAAGCUGGGCAGGAACAAGUAUGCCUAUGAGUGCAUUUCUGUCCAGAAGAUGAGUUGGCUGCACAUGAACCUUGAUCAUUUCAAGUCUAAGACUGACGAAAUAGAACGCCAAGCAAGAAGAACGAAGCCUGCAGGAGUACAAGGAGGAAAUGAAAGUUGCCGUACCGACAGGGCUACACAAAUCCCGCGAUGGGUGGAUUAGGCUGAGCGUUAUCAGUGAUGAUGAAACACAGCAGACUGUGGUAAUGAAAUAUUUAUGAAUGGGGAAAUGAUACUGCAUUCUGCAGUGCAGCACAGGGGAAAGUGAAAUUUCAAGAAUACUGUAAUAGCAAAGCCCUCCAUUAAUUAUCGAAAGCGAGCUGUAAUGCCAGUUACUAUGACAACAGGGUCCCCUAUGCAUUUUGCACCAUUUUGAGGGAGGGAGGGCUGCUUCUAUUUACUGGAGCACAUUGUAUUUCUUUUCUGUUGGUAAUUGUGACCGUCCCAGCUUGAGACUACGUGGCUAAUUUCAAUGACAAAAUUAUAAAGUGGUUAUUGGUUAAAAUAUAGGGAAAGCCUUUCAUGAGUGGUACUGGUGUUUUUAUUCUGCGAAGAGCUAAAGAUACCCCUUCUCAUAUUGAAGGAGAUGCUACUGUUGUUAUUAAUAAUCUUAUAUAAUAUUAAUGUAUGAUAAUGCAAUAAUAAAAAGCG
ensembl:lncRNA